GUGGAGCAUGUGGUUUAAUUCGAAGCAACGCGAAGAACCUUACCAGGCCUUGACAUGCAGAGAACUUUCCAGAGAUGGAUUGGUGCCUUCGGGAACUCUGACACAGGUGCUGCAUGGCUGUUGUCAGCUCGUGUCGUGAGAUGUUGGGUUAAGUCCCGUAACGAGCGCAACCCUUGUCCUUAGUUACCAGCACGUUAUGGUGGGCACUCUAAGGAGACUGCCGGUGACAAACCGGAGGAAGGUGGGGAUGACGUCAAGUCAUCAUGGCCCUUACGGCCUGGGCUACACACGUGCUACAAUGGUCGGUACAAAGGGUUGCCAAGCCGCGAGGUGGGGCUAAUCCCAUAAAACCGAUCGUAGUCCGGAUCGCAGUCUGCAACUCGACUGCGUGAAGUCGGAAUCGCUAGUAAUCGUGAAAUCAGAAUGUCACGGUGAAUACGUUCCCGGGCCUU
rnacentral:rRNA from 1 species